CGGGCCAGACUCCUACGGGAGGCAGCAGUGAGGAAUAUUGCGCAAUGGGGGAAACCUUGACGCAGCGACGCCGCGUGGGCGACGAAGGCCUUCGGGUCGUAAAGCCCUUUUGGCAGGGACGAGUGAGGACGGUACCUGCCGAAUAAGUCUCGGCUAACUACGUGCCAGCAGCCGCGGUAAAACGUAGGAGGCGAGCGUUAUCCGGAUUCACUGGGCGUAAAGCGCGCGUAGGCGGUUGGGUAAGUCGGACGUGAAAGCCCCUGGCUCAACUGGGGGAGGCCGUUCGAUACUGCCCGGCUUGAGGGUGAGAGAGGGAAGUGGAAUUCCCGGUGUAGCGGUGGAAUGCGUAG
rnacentral:rRNA from 1 species